GAUCCUGGCUCAGGAUAAACGCUGGCGGCGUGCAUGAGACAUGCAAGUCGAACGCGAAAGGCCCCUUCGGGGGCCGAGUAGAGUGGCGUCCGGGUGAGUAACACGUGAGUAAUUUGCCUUCGGGUGGGGAAUAACAACCGGAAACGGUUGCUAAUACCGCAUAAUGCAGCGGCACCUAAUGGUGACAGUUGUUAAAGCGGGGGAUCGCAAGACCUCGCGCCUGAAGAGAAGCUCGCGGCGGAUUAGCUAGUUGGCAGGGUAACGGCCUACCAAGGCGACGAUCCGUAGCCGGCCUGAGAGGGCGGUCGGCCACACUGACACUGACACACGGGUCAGACUCCUACGGGAGGCAGCAGUCGGGAAUUUUGGGCAAUGGGCGAAAGCCUGACCCAGCAACGCCGCGUGAAGGAUGAAGUUUUUCGGAAUGUAAACUUCACAAGAAUGGGAAGAAUAAGAAAGGGCUAAUACCUCUUUCGAUGACGGUACCAUUUGUAAGCUCCGGCUAACUCCGUGCCAGCAGCCGCGGUAAUACGGGGGGAGCAAGCGUUGUUCGGAUUUACUGGGCGUAAAGGGCGCGUAGGCGGCGCAACAAGUCACUUGUGAAAUCUCCGGGCUUAACUCGGAGCGGCCAAGUGAUACUGUCGUGCUAGAGUGCGGAAGGGGCAACUGGAAUUCUCGGUGUAGCGGUGAAAUGCGUAGAUAUCGAGAGGAACACCUGCGGCGAAGGCGGGUUGCUGGGCCGACACUGACGCUGAGGCGCGAAAGCCAGGGGAGCGAACGGGAUUAGAUACCCCGGUAGUCCUGGCCUUAAACGAUGGAUGCUUGGUGUCCGAGGUUACAUAGUCCUCGGGUGCCGUCGCUAACGCCUUAAGCAUCCCGCCUGGG
rnacentral:rRNA from 1 species